CCUCUUAUCUUUCAUAGUUAGUUGAUCUUUGGCCACCUGUGAAGGUGUUUGAGGAUGCAACACAAAUUUAGUGCCAAGAUGGGUGAGGCUAAUCUCAUUAGUUAGGCCAUUAUAAAUGAUCUUCCUAUCAAAUUGUCACGGCCUUCCUAAAAGAAUAUGUCCUGCCUCCAUGGGAACUAUAUCACAAUUAACUUCAUCCUUAUAUGUCCCAAUGGAGAAAGGUACCUUCACUUGUUGGUUAACUAUCAUUUCCCCUUGCUCAUUGAGCCAUUG
rnacentral:lncRNA from 1 species